ACACAGGAAGGGAGGUGGUCCGAGAAAUUGAGUGACAUACGGACAAGUGAGGUGGCUGCUAGCUAGCAGCACCAGGAGUGUGAUGAGCGUCUUGGCUCUUCGCACACGCGUUUCGCGCACCCUGCGAGCGCUGGCGAAUACCAAGUAGCCACCCGGCCCCCGAGCCCUUGGUUGGUCCAACCGAGAUCAAACGGCUCGGGGGCUGCUCCGU
rfam:Mycobacterium neoaurum VKM Ac-1815D, complete genome.